UUUCCUCCACGUACCACCACAGGAAGCAUACCACAGUUUGAGAACCAUGGGCAGGAACAUGCCAGGCUGAUAAUGGAAGUUUUGAUGACACGUGCACAAUUCCCCCAGCAGCAUCGUGAGCUCUCAGACUGUGCUUGUUGUCCCUGUUGCUGAUGUUUCUGUGUGCACCCAACAAUGGCCUCUACAUCUUUAUCAACUCUCCAGCACCGAGAGGGCAGGCAGAAGCACAACAGCUGCACGGCACCAGUAACGCGUGAUGGCUGCAGCGGCUGGAAUACGGACGUGAAGACAUCUGACGACUCACCUGAGGAGAGGGGAAAGCCUGAUGUCACUGCCCCGCCUCCUAGGCUGAAAACGCCAAAAAAAGGCACCUUCUAAAAGCGUCCUCCUGUCCUCACAGUCGUGACUCCGGCAGAUAUCUGUCUCUGACCCGAGUCUUUUACACUACUGAGCUGUCAAUAACACAUUCGUGCUGAUGCAAUUAACACCUACUCAAAACCAGCAAGCUCAAAAUCUGUAGCCGCUUUUUAAUUGACAUUUUUUUUCAUACGACACUCGACCGUCUUGUUUUUUUCUUCUUCUUUGAGUUUAAAACAAGCAGCAAAUGUCCAUGACGUCACCCAUAAGAAUCUUUACUGUCGAUUUCCCUCUAAAUGAGAACAUUAUUUAACAAAACUGACAUCAUGUGCUUUUGAAUGAGAGCUGAAAUAGCAUUUGAGACUGUUAUAAACUGUUAUAAGACUGU